rnacentral:rRNA from 1 species
AUACGGAGGAUGCGAGCGUUAUCCGGAUUUAUUGGGUUUAAAGGGUGCGUAGGCUGUGCGUUAAGUCAGGGGUGAAAUGCCGUUGCUCAACAUCGGAGCUGCCCUUGAUACUGGCGUGCUGGAGUACGGAUGCCGUUGGAGGAAUGAGUAGUGUAGCGGUGAAAUGCAUAGAUAUUACUCAGAACACCGAUUGCGAGGGCAUCGAACGAACCCGUAACGGACGCUGAGGCACGAAGGCGGGGGGAUAGAACAGGAUUAGAUCCCCUGGUAUCCCACGCCGUAAACGAUGAUGACUAACCGCCGGCGACAGACCGAUCGGUGGCCAAGCGAAAGCGAUAAGUCAUCCACCUGGGGAGUACGACCGCAAGGUUGAAACUCAAAGGAAUUGACGGGG